GACGAACGCUGGCGGCGUGCUUAACACAUGCAAGUCGAACGGAAAGGCCCUGCUUUUGUGGGGUGCUCGAGUGGCGAACGGGUGAGUAACACGUGAGUAACCUGCCCUUGACUUUGGGAUAACUUCAGGAAACUGGGGCUAAUACCUGAUAGGAGCUCCUGCUGCAUGGUGGGGGUUGGAAAGUUUCGGCGGUUGGGGAUGGACUCGCGGCUUAUCAGCUUGUUGGUGGGGUAGUGGCUUACCAAGGCUUUGACGGGUAGCCGGCCUGAGAGGGUGACCGGCCACAUUGGGACUGAGAUACGGCCCAGACUACUACGGGAGGCAGCAGUGGGGAAUAUUGCACAAUGGGCGGAAGCCGGAUGCAGCAACGCCGCGUGCGGGAUGACGGCCUUCGGGUUGUAAACCGCUUUAGCCUGUGACGAAGCGUGAGUGACGGUAAUGGGUAAAGAAGCACCGGCUAACUACGUG
rnacentral:rRNA from 1 species